UACGUAGGGUGCAAGCGUUGUCCGGAAUUAUUGGGCGUAAAGAGCUCGUAGGCGGUUUGUCGCGUCUGCUGUGAAAAUCCAGGGCUUAACCCUGGACCUGCAGUGGGUACGGGCAGACUAGAGUGCGGUAGGGGAGAUCGGAAUUCCUGGUGUAGCGGUGAAAUGCGCAGAUAUCAGGAGGAACACCAGUGGCGAAGGCGGCACUCUGGGCUGGCACUGACGCUGAGGAGCGAAAGCGUGGGGAGCGAACAGG
rnacentral:rRNA from 1 species